UUUUUUUUUUUUUUUAGAGAGAGACAAAGAGAGAGAGAGAGCACACUACCCGCUUCGUUUAUUUCAUUUAAAAAUAAAAUUAGCUGAAAAUGUGAAUCAACUAGAAUUCGAACUUGGGUCUCGGGUACCAACCACCAAGCCCUUUGCCACUUGCUCUAAAGAUGGUUGGUUAUUCUCUGGAACCAGUUUCAAUAUAUUUUUGAUGGUCCGACUGAAAAAUGCAAAAAUACAUUUCUAUAUACUUUUUCUCUAACACCAUUUUAUUUAUUAGCAUUAGAUGGAUCUCAGUACCAAACAUAAAGUUGUCGAAAAUAUCCAAUAUCUCAUGCUUGACUUGGACUCUACCAAAACCCGAACCGGACAUGACAAAAAAUAAAUAGUAUAUGGAUAAAAAAAAAAAUUAUCUAUUAAAGUUUCGAAUAUGGGUUCGAAUACAUUAUACCCACACCCAACUUGGACCUGACUCGAACCCGAUUUUUUAAAAGGUAGGGGCCGGAAGAGUUUCCAAAUUCGGAUCAAGACCCGGGCCCGAUGCAGGACCCGGUGAAAUACUCGAUAGUAAAUAAAAAAAAAUUGAAGUUCAGGGUGAAAGGUCUUUGUAUAUUUUUAUCCUAGUUAAAACGCGCUGUUUACUCAUUUUUAUUUUUUUAUUUUACUCAUUUUUUUUAAUUCAAAUUAUUUACAGUUUGAAUCUUUCUUUUAAAUAAAUUUUUUUGGAUUUGAUGCAACUAAUUAGAACGCGAGUUUUUUUUUAUAAUGAGAGAUUUAUGAUUUAUCCAUAAAUUAUUUAAUAAAGUCUAUAAAAAAUAUAUGCAUACAGGUAUUCAUACUUGAUCUAGAUCCGAUCCAUACCUGAUCCAUAUUAGGUCUUAAGCGGGUAGUAUACGAGCGGUCACUAUCCAGACUUAUUCAAAUAGACCCGAUGUGUAUAUUAUUAACCCAAUCCGAAAAUUGACUUCUUUUUAACUUAAUUUUAUUCAAAAAUAACCCCAUUACUAAUAUCCGUCGAGUUAUUUCAGAUUGAACCCGAAUUAAAUUUCUACCACAGUCAAAAAGAAGUCAAAGUACCUAUUUUAUCCUUAACUCAAGGACAAAUACAAAAAAAAAUAGUGAUGGUUGAAUGGUAUUAAAAGGCAAAAAGUCAAAAUACUUAUUUUACUCCAAACUUAAAUAUAAAUAAGAAAAAUUGGUGAUGAUAAAAUGGUACACUUGAAACGGCAAAAUUAGUACUUUUACAAAAAUAACGGUUAUUUCUAACAGAAUUUAACUCCAGAAAGUUUUUUGAAAUAACUUGAAACAUUAAAAAGAUAUUUUUAAAAUUAGCUUUCUAAAAAAAAUAAAUCAGAAAGUAGGAAGCUUUUCAAGGGUAUAUAUAAACAAUUGCCCCUAAAUAUAUUAAUUAAGUGUAUAUUUAUGUU
rnacentral:lncRNA from 1 species